CCGAGUAACCGGGUCUCUUCUGGCCCAUACUCCCACCCUGUGUGUAUCUACCGCUUCUUCAGUUGCCUUGGCGGGUCUCUCCUCCCCACCAGAGGAUCCGGGUUCGCCCGGUCCGUGGGAGGUUCCGCCAGGGGGACUCUCCAAAACUCUUUUUUCAAAUCGGGUCAGUGUCUGAGAACAAAACGAAUAAAUGA
rnacentral:misc_RNA from 1 species